rnacentral:rRNA from 1 species
UACGGAGGGGGCUAGCGUUGUUCGGAAUUACUGGGCGUAAAGCGCACGUAGGCGGUUUUGUACGUCAGAGGUGAAAGCCUGGGGCUCAACUCCAGAAUAGCCUUUAAGACUGCAUCACUUGAACACGGGAGAGGUGAGUGGAAUUCCGAGUGUAGAGGUGAAAUUCGUAGAUAUUCGGAAGAACACCAGUGGCGAAGGCGGCUCACUGGACCGUUGUUGACGCUGAGGUGCGAAAGCGUGGGGAGCAAACAGG